CCCGCUCAGAAACUCAAAUGAAUUGACGGGGCCGCACAAGCGGUGGAGUAUGUGGUUUAAUUCGAUGCAACGCGAAGAACCUUACCUGGUCUUGACAUCCCAGAAAUCCCUUGGAAACUUGGGAGUGCUUCCAUUAGGAAGAAUCUGGAGACAGGUGCUGCAUGGCUGUCGUCAGCUCGUGUCGUGAGAUGUUGGGUUAAGUCCCGCAACGAGCGCAACCCUUGCCUUUAGUUGCCAGCAGUCGGCUGGGCACUCUAAAGGGACUGCCGGUGUUAAACCGGAGGAAGGUGGGGAUGACGUCAAGUCCUCAUGGCCUUUAUGGCCAGGGCUACACACGUACUACAAUGGCCGAUACAAAGGGCAGCGACACUGCGAGGUGAAGCCAAUCCCGUAAAAUCGGUCUCAGUCCGGAUUGGAGUCUGCAACUCGACUCCAUGAGGUUGGAAUCGCUAGUAAUCGUGGAUCAGCAUGCCACGGUGAAUACGUUCCCGGGCCUU
rnacentral:rRNA from 1 species